GACGAGGGAUCCAAGCGUUGUUCGGAAUCAUUGGGCGUAAAGCGGGAGUAGGUGGUUGGACAUGUCAGAAGUGAAAGCCCUGGGCUUAACCCAGGAAGUGCUUUUGAAACUGUUCAACUUGAGUGCCGGAGAGGUUGCUAGAAUACCUGGUGUAGUGGUGAAAUACGUAGAUAUCAGGUGGAAUUCCGGAGAGGAAGCUGGGUAACUGGCCGGACACUGACACUCAUCCCCGAAAGCGUGGGGAUCAAACAGG
rnacentral:rRNA from 1 species